rnacentral:rRNA from 1 species
UACGGGGGGAGCAAGCGUUGUUCGGAUUUACUGGGCGUAAAGCGCGCGUAGGCGGAGCGUUAAGUCCGGUCUGAAAGCCCCCGGCUCAACCGGGGAAGGUGGCUGGAAACUGGCGUGCUGGAGUGUGGCAGAGGGAGGUGGAAUUCCACGUGUAGCAGUGAAAUGCGUAGAGAUGUGGAGGAACACCGAUGGCGAAGGCAGCCUCCUGGGCCAGCACUGACGCUCAUGCACGAAAGCGUGGGGAGCAAACAGG